CAAAUGAAGUUAUCUGAGUCAACAGAUAGGACUUGCAAUGUAAAAAGUCAGUAUUAAUAUUCAGUGCUUUUUUCCUGCAAAGGCUUAUAGACUUAAACAAUGCUGUGUGUGAAGUCAAGUGUAAUCUCUACAGGUCAAGAUUUCAAACUGAGCUGAAAUUGAAGACAUUUUCAAAUACAAGUGUUUUGUUUCCUUUGACACAUGCUGUGCUCUUUUCUUAUUCCCUGUCUACAGCCUAUGGGAAGCUGCUUAUGCCACACAUGAAAAUAUGAAACCUUGAUCAAUGGGGACAGAUGGCAGAAACAGACUCAUAUUUCCCAUGAGAUGAGGCAGAAUUGCUACAGAAGAUCAGGAUCAAACCAAACAGGUGAUUCUGAAAUCAAGAUAUCUGAAAACCUAAUUUGCAAUGCCGGAUCGACAUUCUGGACAAGAUGCAGGUGAGGCAGUGCAUGGAUGCAUUAACGGACUGGAUGAGGGUGAACAAGCUGAGAAUCAGUCCAGACAAGACAGAAGUACUGCUGGUCAGUGGUUCCUGUGCCCAGGUGAAUUAUGUUCAGCUUGUUCUAGAUGGGGUUGCACGCCCCCUGAAGGACCAGCUUAGCAGUCUGGGGUUGCUCAUUGAUCCAGCACUGUUGCUAGGUGGCCUCUGUGGCUCGGAGUGCCUUUUAUCAGCUUCGGCUGACAUGCCAACUGUGACCUUACCUGGACAGAGAUAGCUUGGCCACAG